UCAGGGGGGCACUUUAAAGUGACCCCCGGUGACAAACCGGAGGAAGGUGGGGAGGGUGUCAGAUCAUCAGGGCCCCUUCAACGUGGGAGACCCACUUGUUAUCAAUGGAGAGGAUAAACGGCUAGCAAGACCCGCGAGGAGCAAGCGAAUCCCACAUAACCAGUCUGCAGUUCGGAUUGUAGUCUGCAAUCUCGACUACAUGAAAGCGGGAAUCGUUAUGUAAUCGUCGAUCAGCAUGCUACGGUGAAUACGUUCCCGGGUCUUGUAACACACCGCCCGUCACACCACCGAGGAGUUUGUAAUCACCACGAA
rnacentral:rRNA from 1 species